CCUACGGGUCGCAGCAGUGGGGAAUAUUGGACAAUGGGCGAAAGCCUGAUCCAGCCAUGCCGCGUGUGUGAAGAAGGCCUUCGGGUUGUAAAGCACUUUCAGUGGGGAAGAAAGCCUUGGGGCUAAUACCCUCGAGGAUGGACAUCACCCACAGAAGAAGCACCGGCUAACUCCGUGCCAGCAGCCGCGGUAAUACGGAGGGUGCGAGCGUUAAUCGGAAUUACUGGGCGUAAAGCGCGCGUAGGCGGUCUGAUAAGCCGGUUGUGAAAGCCCCGGGCUCAACCUGGGAACGGCAUCCGGAACUGUCAGGCUAGAGUGCAGGAGAGGAAGGUAGAAUUCCCGGUGUAGCGGUGAAAUGCGUAGAGAUCGGGAGGAAUACCAGUGGCGAAGGCGGCCUUCUGGACUGACACUGACGCUGAGGUGCGAAAGCGUGGGUAGCAAACAGGAUUAGAUACCCCAGUAGUC
rnacentral:rRNA from 1 species